rnacentral:rRNA from 1 species
UGGGGAAUUUUGGACAAUGGGCGAAAGCCUGAUCCAGCAAUGCCGCGUGUGUGAAGAAGGCCUUCGGGUUGUAAAGCACUUUUGUCCGGAAAGAAAUCCUUGGCUCUAAUACAGUCGGGGGAUGACGGUACCGGAAGAAUAAGCACCGGCUAACUACGUGCCAGCAGCCGCGGUAAUACGUAGGGUGCAAGCGUUAAUCGGAAUUACUGGGCGUAAAGCGUGCGCAGGCGGUUUGCUAAGACCGAUGUGAAAUCCCCGGGCUCAACCUGGGAACUGCAUUGGUGACUGGCAGGCUAGAGUAUGGCAGAGGGGGGUAGAAUUCCACGUGUAGCAGUGAAAUGCGUAGAGAUGUGGAGGAAUACCGAUGGCGAAGGCAGCCCCCUGGGCCAAUACUGACGCUCAUGCACGAAAGCGUGGGGAGCAAACAGGAUUAGAUACCCUGGUAGUCCACGCCCUAAACGAUGUCAACUAGUUGUUGGGGAUUCAUUCCUUAGUAACGUAGCUAACGCGUGAAGUUGACCGCCUGGGGAGUACGGUCGCAAGAUUAAAACUCAAAGGAAUUGACGGGGUCAUAGCUGUUCCU